rnacentral:rRNA from 1 species
CCUACGGGAGGCAGCAGUGAGGAAUAUUGGUCAAUGGGCGCGAGCCUGAACCAGCCAAGUCGCGUGAGGGAUGACGGCCCUACGGGUUGUAAACCUCUUUUGCCGGGGAGCAACGGGCGCCACGUGUGGCGCCACUGAGAGUACCCGGAGAAAAAGCAUCGGCUAACUCCGUGCCAGCAGCCGCGGUAAUACGGAGGAUGCGAGCGUUAUCCGGAUUUCUUGGGGUUAAAGGGUGCGUAGGCGGAUCGUUAAGUCAGUGGGCAAAUUGUGGGGCUCAACCCCUUCCCGCCCUUGAAAAGGGCGCUCUUGAGUGGAAGAGAAGUAUGCGGACUGCGUGGUGUAGCGGUGAAAUGCAUAGAUAUCACGCAGAACCCCGAUUGCGAAGGCAGCAUGCCGGCUUCCGACUGACGCUGAAGCACGAAAGCGUGGGGAUCGAACAGGAUUAGCUACCCGAGUAGUC